GUCUCCGUAGCUCAGCUGGAUAGAGCAGCGGUCUUCUAAACCGCAGGUCGUAGGUUCGAAUCCUAUCGGAGACGCCA
rnacentral:tRNA from 2 species